rnacentral:rRNA from 1 species
CUGGCUCAGGAUGAACGCUAGCUACAGGCUUAACACAUGCAAGUCGAGGGGCAGCAUAACGAAAGCUUGCUUUGUUGAUGGCGACCGGCGCACGGGUGAGUAACGCGUAUCCAACCUUCCCCUUAGUAGGGCAUAGCCCGGCGAAAGUCGGAUUAAUACCCUAUGUUUUCCGUUGAGGACAUCUGAAGUGGAACAAAGAUUUAUCGCUAAGGGAUGGGGAUGCGUCUGAUUAGGUUGUUGGCGGGGUAACGGCCCACCAAGCCAUCGAUCAGUAGGGGUUCUGAGAGGAAGGUCCCCCCACAUUGGUACUGAGACACGGACCAAACUCCUACGGGAGGCAGCAGUGAGGAAUAUUGGUCAAUGGGCGAGAGCCUGAACCAGCCAAGUAGCGUGCAGGAUGACGGCCCUAUGGGUUGUAAACUGCUUUUGCAUGGGAAUAAAGUGAGGGACGUGUCCCUUUUUGUAUGUACCAUGAGAAUAAGGACCGGCUAAUUCCGUGCCAGCCGCUGC